GUUUCAGCGCUAAUUCACUCGAACUCCACUGGCACCGGGCUCUUCUGCCAGGUCCCCCAGGGGACCGUCCUCUACUUACAGGGCCACGAGGCACAGGAAGGCGACGAGGAGCAGCCAGGUCUCUUGAAGUGCUGUGUCUCUCCAGAUCCUCAGAUUUGAGAAAAUCGUAGUUGAUAAAAUGUCCACCUCCCAGUCAAAAUUGCUGCCAUGACUCAGAGCUGCAGAGCUGUAGCUGACCUGACUGUGUUUAGUUUACUUCUCGAGGCCAGAUGCUCAGUGGGUGAAAAGCACAACCAACCACCCUGGAAUAACAGAGCUGCCCUGGUUUUCCCCCGUUGGGAUCUAGUCCUGCCUCCCCAACAUCUGCACGUUUGUGGGAACUGAUUAACAACUGCUACAACACUGCUGGGGAGGGGACAAAGGCAUAAAAAAUAUUGGCCUCAUAAGGAUUUCUGUUUCUGCGUGGGCUUUGACUCUCCCAUACUAAGGAUCUGAGGAAGUUUAUUGCUGCAAAAUAAUAAAAUA